GUGACCUGCCGAAGGAUCAUUG
rnacentral:rRNA from 1 species